rnacentral:rRNA from 1 species
UGGGCAACCUCGCCCCUACUCGUCUGGGAUAACCCCCGGGAAACCGGAGCUAAUACCGGAUACUCCGGCUGG